rnacentral:lncRNA from 1 species
AAAUUUGCUCUUGAGUCUUUCUGGGAUGGAAAGAGCAGCGCUGAGGACUUGAAGAAGGUGUCUGCUGACCUCAGGUCAUCCAUCUGGAAACAGAUGGCUGAUGCUGGUAUUAAGUACAUUCCCAGCAACACCUUCUCUUACUAUGAUCAAGUGCUCGACACAACCGCAAUGCUUGGUGCCGUCCCUUCUAGGUACAACUGGACCAGUGGUGAGAUCGGGUUCGGCACUUACUUCUCCAUGGCCAGAGGAAAUGCCUCCGUCCCUGCUAUGGAGAUGACAAAGUGGUUUGACACCAACUAGUAAGUGACACAUCAACUUUUUCUUUUCAUCGGAUAUAUGAUUAUCUUGUCCGUGUGCUGAUUUAUGGUUUUUCAAUGUUUGAUCCAGCCACUUCAUUGUCCCUGAGUUGGGACCUGAUGUUAACUUUUCUUAUGCUUCUCACAAGGCAGUAGAUGAGUACAAAGAGGCGAAGGGGGUAUGUGAUUCUUUUCUUAUGUAUACUUUUCAUUUUACAAUACAUGUCUGAUUCUUGAACUAUUGGAAGGGGAAUAUAGUUAAUGGAUGUGAUCAUUCAUCAUCAUGGACUUCACUUUUUGCUUUAUGUGAUUUUUGAAGAGAGCAGAUACAAGCUCGGAUUUGUGGUCUAGAAAGACGAUUGUUCAUUUCUUUUGUGUUUUCAUUUUGUUUUGAUGCAUAUUUAUGUACAGCAUUUACGUUGUCCUGUUAAAUCUAUGCUUAUGCAUGGAAAUAAAAGAUUAGAUGAUUGAUUUAUUGAUCUUGAUCUUGUUACUCACGCAGCUUGGAGUAGAUACUGUUCCAGUACUUGUUGGUCCAGUUUCAUACUUGUUGCUUUCCAAACCUGCUAAGGGUGUUGAGAAAUCUUUCCCCCUGUUGUCACUUCUGGACAAAAUCCUUCCAAUUUACAAGUAAGUUUUUUUUUUCACGACCCGCUAUAUCUGAAUGGACAUACUCUAACUUAAAAUUGUCAAUGCAGGGAAGUUAUUGCGGAGUUGAAGGCAGCUGGCGCUUCUUGGAUUCAGCUUGACGAACCUACGCUUGUGUUGGAUCUAGAGGCUCACAAAUUGGAAGCAUUCACCAAGGCCUAUGCUGACCUAGAGUCAUCUCUAUCUGGCCUUAAUGUUAUCGUUGAGACCUACUUUGCUGACGUUCCUGCUGAGGCAUUCAAAACCCUCACUGCUUUGAAAGGAGUUACCGGAUUUGGCUUUGACUUGGUCCGUGGAACUCAGACCCUCGAUUUAAUCAAGGGUGGUUUCCCUUCCGGCAAGUACUUGUUUGCUGGAGUUGUUGACGGAAGGAACAUUUGGGCUAAUGAUCUUGCUGCAUCUCUUAACCUCCUGCAAUCUCUUGAGGGCAUUGUAGGAAAAGGUAAUGUAUUUCCUAUCUCAUCACUUGAUAGUUGGUAGUGAUUUUGUUGCAGGAAAUGAUCAAUUUUUUCUUUCAAUUAUGCAGACAAGCUUGUUGUCUCUACAUCUUGCUCCCUACUCCACACUGCUGUUGAUCUAGUCAAUGAGCCAAAGCUAGACGAUGAAAUCAAAUCAUGGCUCGCAUUUGCUGCCCAAAAGGUUGUUGAAGUAAAUGCUUUAGCCAAGGCAUUGGCUGGUGCCAAGGAUGAGGUAUAGUUCGUUCUUAACUUAAAGGUCUUUAAAAAAUCACUUCGGGAAAUGAGUCUUUUUUACUUAAUACUCUCGACAAAGUUUUUUGCAUAUCACGGCUAAAUGUGUUCAUUGUACUUUCAGGCAUUUUUCUCUGCCAAUGCUGCUGCUCAAGCUUCCAGAAAGUCCUCCCCAAGAGUGACAAAUGAAGCUGUUCAAAAGGCUGUAAGUGUUGAACUGAAGGAUCGUCUUCUCUUUCUAAUGACUUGUAUCAUAUUGUACUUACUACUUUUUACUCUUGUGAUAUCUCAGUCCGCUGCUCUUCAAGGAUCUGACCACCACCGUGCUACAAAUGUUAGUGCUAGACUUGAUGCCCAACAAAAGAAACUUAACCUACCAAUUCUGCCUACAACCACCAUUGGAUCCUUCCCUCAGACAGUGGAGCUUAGAAGAGUUCGUCGUGAAUACAAGGCCAAGAAGUCAGUGUUAUACUUGCUUUCUGCUUCUUACUGUUGGUGCUGUUGAACAUCUCAUCUCAUAAUUCAUUUAUUUAUAGGAUCUCCGAGGAGGAAUAUGUUAAAGCCAUCAAGGAGGAAAUCAAGAAGGUUGUCGAUCUCCAAGAAGAGCUUGACAUUGAUGUCUUGGUUCACGGAGAGCCUGAGGUAGGACAAUUACCUACUUAACUUACAUGCAUAUGCAUGUAUUAGCAUCUUUUCUGUCCAUAUACACACGCUCGCAUGCGUAAAUAUGGAUUGGUAAGUUUGAAUGCUUGAUGUAUGCAGAGGAACGAUAUGGUUGAGUACUUUGGAGAGCAGCUAUCUGGUUUUGCCUUCACUGCUAAUGGAUGGGUUCAAUCGUAUGGAUCUCGAUGUGUGAAGCCACCUAUCAUCUAUGGUGAUGUGAGCCGCCCAAAGCCAAUGACUGUCUUCUGGUCCUCAGCUGCUCAGAAUAUGACCAAGAGGCCAAUGAAGGGAAUGCUUACCGGCCCUGUCACCAUUCUCAACUGGUCUUUUGUCAGAAAUGACCAGCCAAGGUAACUUCAAUUUAUACCCUCCUCCUAAUUUGAGUUUUAUACCUUCUCCGAUUAUGUUUAUAAUGUUUACCAUCAUUGCUUUUUCUAGGUUUGAGACCUGCUACCAGAUUGCAUUGGCCAUUAAGGAUGAAGUGGAGGAUUUGGAGAAGGCAGGAAUCACUGUGAUCCAAAUCGAUGAAGCUGCUUUGAGAGAAGGCUUGCCUCUGAGGAAGUCUGAACACGCAUUCUACUUGAAUUGGGCUGUCCACUCCUUCAGAAUCACCAACGUCGGCAUCCAGGACACUACACAGGUUCUAUUCUGAUCUUGUUGUUUUAACUCCGGAACUUCGUUUAAUCCGAUACCUGCUUGUUAAUGAGCUUAUCUUUUGUGGCUUGCAGAUCCACACCCACAUGUGCUACUCCAACUUCAACGACAUUAUCCACUCCAUCAUCGACAUGGAUGCUGAUGUGAUCACCAUCGAGAACUCACGUUCUGAUGAGAAACUCCUCUCAGUUUUCAGGGAGGGAGUGAAGUACGGAGCUGGCAUUGGUCCCGGUGUCUAUGACAUCCACUCUCCAAGAAUACCAUCCACAGAGGAGAUAGCCGAUAGAGUUAACAAGAUGCUUGCAGUUCUUGACACCAACAUCUUGUGGGUCAACCCCGACUGUGGUCUCAAGACUCGCAAGUAUACCGAGGUGAAACCAGCCCUGCA